AUAAAAAUAAGCUAAAUUCCUAAGCUUUUAGGUUCAUACCCUAAAUAUAGAUCUAAUCUUUUUUAUA
rnacentral:tRNA from 1 species